UUAUGUUCUAAUUCGUAACCUCAACCGAACAUAAAACAUUUAUCAAUAUAAUACAAAACUCUCACAUGGGAGUAGCUACUUGCAAAAGUCAAGUGCAUUUUUAUUCAGGUAAUAAGUACACGUAAUUCAUUUUAUAUCAAUGAGAAUUAUGAAAAUUGUCUGUUUCUAACUAGCACUGCAACAUCAAAAUUUGCGACUCUUUUUGGACUAUCAACCUGUAAAGAAAUAAUUUUCAUAAUUAUUUAUUUGGAAAAAAGCAUCUAGAGCACUUGACUGCAAUGACUCGAAUGACUUUAACUACUAUCAAACCACC
rnacentral:lncRNA from 1 species